CAGCGGGUUCAAGUCCCGUCUCGGUAAACGCCGGUGUGCCGAGUAGCAGGCCCCAGGCGGGAGGAGAGAUCCUCCUGGCCCAAGCGGGGUGUCGAAAGCCUCUUCGGAGGGAGCAAGAUCGCGGGCCGCAGCAUCA
rfam:Enhygromyxa salina strain DSM 15201 ES-Contig_106, whole genome shotgun sequence.